CUCUGAUUGGCUGAUUACCAGUCUGAUAUUUUCCCGUAUCUGGACCGGUUACCAUGACAGUUGGUCCACAACACAUAUUUUUGUUACAAACCCGGAAGCUAAAAACACGAUUAGAAAAACCAAAAAGAAACAAUUUGGAGAUC